rfam:Ornithorhynchus anatinus chromosome 15, whole genome shotgun sequence.
CCCCUCUCAGGGUUGUACCUGGAGAGUUUCCAGGACUCUACCAGACUCGGCUACAGGAGGGAGAGUCGAGCGGAGGUCUACCCAUUCUAUUCCUAGCUUGGCCAGUGGCUAGGGAGUGGCAGACCAUCUGCUACAAGG